rnacentral:rRNA from 1 species
CCCAGACUCCUACGGGAGGCAGCAGUGAGGAAUAUUGGUCAAUGGGAGAGAUCCUGAACCAGCCAAGCCGCGUGAAGGAAGAAGGCGCCAGGCGUCGUAAACUUCUUUUGUCGGGGAACAAAGGGCGCCACGCGUGGCGUUGUGAGUGUACCCGAAGAAAAAGCAUCGGCUAACUCCGUGCCAGCAGCCGCGGUAAUACGGAGGAUGCGAGCGUUAUCCGGAUUUAUUGGGUUUAAAGGGUGCGUAGGCGGAAUAUCAAGUCAGCGGUAAAAAUUCGGGGCUCAACCCCGUCGUGCCGUUGAAACUGAUGUUCUUGAGUGGGCGAGAAGUAUGCGGAAUGCGUGGUGUAGCGGUGAAAUGCAUAGAUAUCACGCAGAACUCCGAUUGCGAAGGCAGCAUACCGGCGCCCGACUGACGCUGAAGCACGAAAGCGUGGGUAUCGAACAGGAUUAGAUACCCGGGUAGGC